CGAGAGGCCAGUGGGCACUGCAUGGAGGGAUGAGAUGGACUCGGGAAGCCACAUUUCCUGUCACUGCAGAGACACUUGGGGUUUGGGACAAGAACAUCAGCCGCACUGCUGACUUCCUGGUGAUGCCUGCUCUCCAAUAAUUCCCCUGUUGACUGCAGCCAGGACGAGAAUCCCUGCUGGUGACCUUU